UACGGAGGAUGCGAGCGUUAUCCGGAUUUAUUGGGUUUAAAGGGUGCGCAGGCGGACAUUCAAGUCUGCGGUCAAAUUCCGGGGCUCAACCCCGGCCAGCCGUGGAAACUGAAUGACUUGAGUGGGCGAGAGGUAUGCGGAAUGCGCGGUGUAGCGGUGAAAUGCUUAGAGAUCGCGCAGAACUCCGAUUGCGAAGGCAGCAUACCGGCGCCUUACUGACGCUCAGGCACGAAAGCGUGGGGAUCGAA
rnacentral:rRNA from 1 species